CCUUCGGGAGNUUCUNAAUGGCGAANGGGUGAGUAACACGUGGGCAAUCUGCCCUUCACUCUGGGACAAGCCCUGGAAACGGGGUCUAAUACCGGAUACGACCUCCGACCGCAUGGUCUGGUGGUGGAAAGCUCCGGCGGUGAAGGAUGAGCCCGCGGCCUAUCAGCUUGUUGGUGGGGUGAUGGCCUACCAAGGCGACGACGGGUAGCCGGCCUGAGAGGGCGACCGGCCACACUGGGACUGAGACACGGCCCAGACUCCUACGGGAGGCAGCAGUGGGGAAUAUUGCACAAUGGGCGAAAGCCUGAUGCAGCGACGCCGCGUGAGGGAUGACGGCCUUCGGGUUGUAAACCUCUUUCAGCAGGGAAGAAGCGAGAGUGACGGUACCUGCAGAAGAAGCGCCGGCUAACUACGUGCCAGCAGCCGCGGUAAUACGUAGGGCGCAAGCGUUGUCCGGAAUUAUUGGGCGUAAAGAGCUCGUAGGCGGCUUGUCACGUCGGAUGUGAAAGCCCGGGGCUUAACCCCGGGUCUGCAUUCGAUACGGGCAGGCUAGAGUUCGGUAGGGGAGAUCGGAAUUCCUGGUGUAGCGGUGAAAUGCNCAGAUAUCANGANNNACACCGGUGGCGAANGCGGAUCUCUGGGCCGNUACUGACNCUGAGNANCNAAAGCGUGGGGAGCGGACANNANNANAUACCCUGNUAGNCNCNNC
rnacentral:rRNA from 1 species